CUGGGACCUGUCCCCAGGGGAAUUAUUUCUAAUACCCUUGAUAAAAUGUACAAAGCUAGGGUAGGAAGUAGCAAGGUGACAGCAGUGGUUAGGUGGAAAGUUUCUCUAAGAGAAAGAACUAAUGAAUUCGUUCAAUUGAAGCUUUUUAAAUAUAUUUAUUCCUGUCACCUUUCAAGUCAGCAGCUUUUUCCAGGUGACAUGGCAAAAGGGCCUGGCAAGUGCACAGGGUUAAGCCAAGGACUAUCAAUACUGCUCCCUAAAAUAUUUUCACCUCUGGUUUUGGGGAUCUGCUUCUUCUCGGGGUCUCUCCUGCUGCUUUCCUGGUAAUAGCACCUAAGAGACCCAUGAAACAAAUCCCCAGUUCAAUACAAAUUUAUAGCUGAGUAAAUAUGAGCAUAGGCUUUAGGAAUCCACAGAAUUGGAGCUUUGCUUAAUACCAGCCGGGAAAAUGUGGUUGUCAGUUAACCUCUCAGAGCCUCUUCGAGGCUUGGUUCGCUCAUCUAUUAAAUGAGUCUGAAUAAGCCCUACUCCUCCAGGUUGUUGCUAGCAUCAGACGAGAAAUGUAUGCAAAGCCCCAGUGCCAUGGCUGACACACAGGAAACAUUCAACAAGUGGUAGUGCAUUUUCACUAAGUAAAAGGAGUAAUGAUUUCUUUAGUGGUUUCUUUUAACACAGGGGUUUCUAUCCAUCCCAAAUAGAGGAUAGAUAUUCUAAUAAAACAAUCAUUUAUGUGAUUUGUGAUUACACCGUACAACUCAAGUUCCUGUGGAAUGUUUAGCGUAAUCAAUCCGAAGCUCUCAGCAAGCUCCCUGGGCCUGAUUUUCAAAUCCAAUGUUACUGUAGCAAAGAACUAAAGGAGGGGAAGAAAAGCACCACUGUAUUAAAUACACCCUCCUCCCCUUUUUCCUAAAGGCUGUUUGUCCCCUUCUCUUGAUAAAUCUUCAGUUCCCAGAGAGCAGAGACUCUUGGGAAACAGGAAGUAGCAAAAUGCCAGUGAGAAAAUCCCCAGAUGAAGAGCAGCAACAAGUCUCCGGGCAACAGUGUGGUCAAAAGGGGGAAAUUCCCCCAUCAGCGCUCAAAAACAGUCCCUCAGGAAAGCUUAGUGAAGGUUAAUUUGGGAAAUUCCCUCAGAGGCCAUAGAACAGAAACGGAAAACUGCUGUUUAAGAGAAAUCUGAACGGAGCAAGCCAGUUCGUGGCUGCCUGGGGUGCUCUCUGCGUGAACCGCGCUGCUGCUCCAGCCUGACUUCCCCCUUUUCAUCCUGAUCCUGAGGGCAACCCCGAAGGGGUCCAGUUGCCAGAGCCACUUGACACCCACCCUGCCCAGGCUCCCAACCCAGGAGAAUUAAUGCCGCAACACCCAGCCUCUUGAAACGAGCUGCUGCUAAAGCAGAUUUGCCUCCCCGUUAGGACCUCCUGUGACCCACCCUCAUUCCUGUCCCCAUGGUAGACUAGCAAGCCACAGUCAUCAUACUGUGAGUGUCCCUCACAGUCACUUGCUAUAACAAGUCCAUCAGGUUUUACUGGGUUUUAAUCUAAAUGUGACCUUAGGAUGACAUUUCUUAGUGCUGCUAAGCUCCAAGAGGCAGGGAGGAAUCCUCCCCACAAAGAAGAAGAAAAAAAAAAUCACAUAAACAUUGUCCCAUGAAAGGCUUAGAAUGGAAUAUCCUCUGAUCAGCUGAAGCAGAGAAAGCAUAUAAACACUGCUGGAAAGGGGGCUGGGUCAGGGGCAAGUACUGGCUCUACAGAGCCCUGAUCUCCAGAUGCAAGCGAGGCCCAGUUCCCUGCUGCAACCAGCUCUCCGUGAAUCAUUUCCAUUCCCAUAAAACUUCUAUUUGCUGUUUUGUUUUGUUUUUUUAUGUGUGACUUAAAAUGACCAUUUCAAGAAGAUGACAAAAAGGAGAUUUCAGUAGAAGAGAGAGGAAAGUAGACUCCAUCAUGACAGCCUAAAUUUGUUUUACUGUACACUUACGCAAAAUAGGUAUCAAAUUUUGGAAAAGAGAUUUUAAAGGAGAAAGUACUCUGGGUUUAAAAUUCUAUUAAAAAAUAUGCUCUACUAGAGCGUGUGUGCCUUUUUUAUGUAAUCAGGACCCACUGCUGUAUGAGUCACAAUUAUAGAUUCUACUUUCAAAUAUUUUUUGACUCCUAGAAAACAGCCCUGACAAAAACCACUUUUCUGAUGUCUUCAAACAAACAGCUACUUUCAAAGUCUCCUACACUUGAAAAUUCUAGACAGACUGUCAACAUACUCUCAAGAAGUAUUCUUUCCAUUUUUCUUCUGGGAAAAUAGCAGGAAUUUUGGCCCCUAGGGAGAAAUGCAGAAGGAGUAGCAAAUGAGCACACUGACUGGAAAGAAUGCUAUUUGUCUUUCACUAUGUGGAGUUCAGAAGAGCACUGGCCAUUGGCGAAGUCCCAGAAGUGAAGGUCAAGUUACAGCUUAAUCUGGGCUCAUACCCUGCAACUGAGUCCACCUUCAGAUGGUGCUUCCACUAAGAAAGCUGUGGGAUGCCUACGCUGCAUUCAUUAGACCCUAGCAAUAUAAAUAUUGCUCGUUUCCACUAGGGAGGAAAACAACUCUGCUGUCAAAUUUGCUGAGCACAAAGUGAAAGGAAGUCUGCAAUCUGUUGGCUAAUUAAGACCCAUUAAAUCUGUACUUGGAUCAUGGAAGCUUGUAGGGACUAGCCAUGUCAGUCCCACCUUGAAGACAGAGUUCCAGGCUGGAUUGCAUUUUCUAGAACAAAUCCUUUAAAUAUUUUCAUUCAAAGAGAACAGUAAUGACAGCUUCCAACAAUCAAACUGAAUAUUUUAGUAGAAGCUUUUCUAGACAUUUGUGUUGGGAUAACUAAUGGAACUAAUAGAUUUAAGAAAUUUCAGAACUCCUAAUUAAGCCCUGGAUACUGCCUCAGAUUCUGAAUGACUGAAUAUAUUGGGCAUUUUAUGCCUCAUCCUUCAUGUAGUCCAACAAACACCUAUUCUAUAUUUAUUCUAAAAAACUUUACUAAAAACUUUACUAAUAUUAAAUUUUCUAAAUACUUUCUAAAACUUUACUAAUAUUAAAUUUUUUACUUAAGAUCUUCAGAAAAUUUUCCAAAUUUUAUAAAUUGUAUACAUUUUUGAUGCUGCUAUUGCUAUAGAUGUCUUCUGGAAGUUGAGUUGUGCCUUUAGGAAUAUUUUCCCACUACAUCACUGUAAUGAGUGUUACAAAAAAAGUCUCUGUACAUUCUGCAUGCCUUGAUUAAAUGUAUUAAUUUUCUACCAAAUCACUAUUCCUAUAAGUGUUUAAAAUAAAAAUGAAUAUGGUCUUCAAAAAAAAAA
rnacentral:lncRNA from 1 species